rnacentral:rRNA from 1 species
AUACGGGGGGUGCAAGCGUUAAUCGGAAUUACUGGGCGUAAAGCGCGCGUAGGCGGUUUGCUCAGUCGGAUGUGAAAGCCCAGGGCUCAACCUUGGAACUGCAUACGAUACUGGCAAACUAGAGUGUGAGAGAGGAUAGUGGAAUUUCCGGUGUAGCGGUGAAAUGCGUAGAUAUCGGAAGGAACAUCAGUGGCGAAGGCGACUGUCUGGCUCAACACUGACGCUGAGGUGCGAAAGCGUGGGUAGCAAACAGGAGUAGAAACCCUAGUAGUCC